rnacentral:lncRNA from 1 species
GUCACGAGGCUUGUCUUCUGCCAGGAGUGGAGACUUUCCCACAGACUUCUUGUUUCUUCUUGCUGCUUUUGGGUGACUCAGCCUAUGACACUUUUGCUCCUCCUGAAAUCUCCAUAUCUUGCUUUUCUCAAAUUCCAAGCCCACUCAUGUGACAUGCAUGGAGCUCUUCAGCAGGGACUUACUGACCAGGACAAGAGCUUGAGACUUUGAGGGGAUCUGAUUGUCACUGCACAAUCAAGGACAGUAUUCCCAAGAGUGGAUGUUGCUCAAGAUAGUCCAAGGAAUUCUAUGAAGAAAAGGACUCCACAGACAAUAAAUUUUGGACACCCUGUUUCAACACAGUGCAUCUUAGAGACUGGUGUUUGCAAGUAUAUGGAGCAGGAAACUUCAUCCCGAAGAUGGAGACCCCGGGGCUGUCAGCAGGCGUUAG